CUCCGGUGAUCCCUGCCGGUCCCAGCAAUACCCGAGGAACGCGACAUCCGCGGCGCCGAGGCCGAGAAGCUCGGCCUUGAGCGGUCCAUCCCCGGCGACGAUGAGCCUGACCGGGAUCGGCCACAGGAGCGUCCGCGCCGUGGCGAAGGCACCGAGCACCGCUUCGACAUUCUUCUCGGGCGCGACACGGCCCACGUAGAUGAACGUGAACGCGUCCUCGAGCCCGAGCCGGCGCCGGAGGCUCGGCCGCCGCCUCGCGGGCUGAAAGCAAUCGAUGUCGACGCCGCGGCCCCACACCUCGACCCGAGUGACGCCGCGCCCGAGCAGCUCGGUUCGAGCCGCGUCGGACGGCGUAUAGGUUCGCCGGGCGCGCCGGUGGAAGCGGACCAGGUAGCGCGCCACCACGGAGGCGAGCCGGGGCACACCGUACGCGGCGGCGUACCGGGCGAAGUCGGUGUGGUAAGAGGUGACGACGGGAAUGCCGCGCCGCCGCGCCGCCAGGGCGCCCAUCUGCCCGAUCAUGAACUCGGUCGAGCAAUGGACCAGGUCGGGGCGGGACUCAUCCACCGCCCGCGCCACGGUUCGAUAGAACGGCGCGGCCAGACGGAUCUCGCCGUAGCCGGGACAGGGCCAGCUCGCGAUCCCGAUCAGGGGAUCGGGGACGGGGGGCUCAUGCGGGGGCGCGGUGCCGUUCGGAUAGGCCGGAGCGACGACGCCGACGUCCCAACCCCGGCGGAUCAGGCCCCGGACCGAGACGGCGGUGACCGUGGAGACUCCGUUGAUCUGCGGGGGGUAGGUAUCGGUGCAGUAGAGGACGCGCAUCGGCCCCAAGAUCGCGGCGUUAGGUCACAGUCAUCACCAGGGAAUGGCGGGGGAGCA
rnacentral:rRNA from 1 species